GGCUUAGUUUGGUGACACAUUUUAUUUGAAGAGAUUGUAGGUGAAGGGAUCCAACCACUCCCUCCUGGACAGAGAUGCUUUUAUCCCACCCCACAGAGCCACGGCCUGUCAGCCUGGUGUGGACAGCAACGACCCCUCCCUGACAAGCCUUUCACUGAGCAACCAAUACUCCCUCUCAAGCGUUGUUCUUGUCAGGCAGCCACAACCCCACUUCACUCUACUCCCUCCCAUGACCUACAAAAGACCCACAGCCUCUCUGUGAGUCGGGGUCUGGUCUCCAACC
rnacentral:lncRNA from 1 species